GUGUCAGCCGCCGCGGUAAUACGGAGGGUGCAAGCGUUAUCCGGAAUCACUGGGUUUAAAGGGUGCGUAGGCGGCCUGGUAAGUCAGGGGUGAAAGUUUGCCGCUCAACGGUAAAAUUGCCUUUGAUACUGUCAGGCUUGAAUAGGCGCGAGGCAGGCGGAAUGUGACAUGUAGCGGUGAAAUGCAUAGAUAUGUCAUAGAACACCAAUUGCGAAGGCAGCUUGCCAGAGCCUUAUUGACGCUGAGGCACGAAAGCGUGGGGAGCGAACAGGAUUAGAUACCCUGGUAGUCCACGCCCUAAACGAUGCUUACUCGACGUGCGGUUUUCGGAUUGUGCGUCCAAGCGAAAGCGCUAAGUAAGCCACCUGGGGAGUACGCCGGCAACGGUGAAACUUAAAUGAAUUGACGGGG
rnacentral:rRNA from 1 species